CCUACGGGUGGCAGCAGUGAGGAAUAUUGGUCAAUGGGCGGGAGCCUGAACCAGCCAAGUCGCGUGAGGGAUGACGGCUCUAUGGAUUGUAAACCUCUUUUACCGGGGAGCAAAGUGACGCACGUGUGCGGUUUGGAGAGUACCCGGAGAACAAGCAUCGGCUAACUCCGUGCCAGCAGCCGCGGUAAUACGGAGGAUGCGAGCUUUAUCCGGAUUUAUUGGGGUUAAAGGGUGCGUAGGGGGGCUGUUAAGUGAGGUGUGAAAGUGCGGGGCUCAACCGCCGCGGAGCAUUUGAUACUGGCUGCCUUGAGUGGGGGAGAGGUAGGCGGAAGUCGUGGUGUAGCGGUGAAAUGCUUAGAUAUCACGAAGAACUCCGAUUGCGAAGGCAGCGUACUG
rnacentral:rRNA from 1 species